UUGCAAAUGGUAGGAGUUUUGGGUCAAUUUUCAAUACUUUUGAGGCUUUGGAGAGUGAUUAUUUGGGCUUUUUGAAGAAGGAAAUGGGCCAUGAGCGUGUGUAUUCAAUUGGGCCUAUAAAUUUGGUUGGUGGGCCUGGUAGAAUUGGGAAGUCUAAUGUUGAUGCAAAUGAGAGAGUUUUUACUUGGCUUGAUGAGUGUCCUAAUGAAUCUGUUCUUUAUGUAGCUUUUGGAAGCCAAAAGUUACUAACAAAGGCCCAAAUGGAGGCCUUAACUAUUGGGCUUGAGAAAAGUGGAAUGAGGUUCAUUUUAGUAGCUAAACAAUUGACAGCCCAACAAGAGGAACAAGGUUUUGGAUCAGUGCCAAAAGGGUUUGAGGAGAGAGUCUUCGGGAAAGGCCUAGUAAUAAAGGGUUGGGCCCCACAAGUGGAGAUAUUGGGCCAUCGAGCCGUUAGUGGGUUUUUGAGUCACUGUGGAUGGAAUUCAGUGUUGGAAGCGAUAGUGGCGGGAGUAGUAAUUUUAGGAUGGCCCAUGGAGGCCGACCAAUUCAUAAACACGUGGUUGUUGGUGGAUAAUAUGAAGACAUCGGUCCGAGUUUGUGAGGGCUCAGACUCGGUGCCUGACCCGAUAGAGUUGGGUCGGAAAAUUAAUGAGGCAAUGAGUAAUGAUUUGUUUAAGGAGAGGGCCAAAAAAAUGAGAGAUGAAGCACUUAAAGCUGUUAAAAUUGGAGGGGGCUCUAAAAAGGAUUUGGAUUCUAUUGUAAAAGAGUUGGGCCAACUAAGAGUUGAAAAUUCAUGCAAAUGGGCUAAACACUUUUAAGUUGGGCCAACUUUUAAUGAAUUUGGUUGGGUUUAGAUGAACAUUUGACAACGUACUCUUCAACUUUAAUAUCAUCGCAUAAUGUGUUACAAAUUUUAUAAUAAUGCUCUCAUAGCUUAUUUGAUUUUUGCCAAAAAAAAAGGGGGGGGUUUGUUUGCACUUUUUCUAGAGAAGGUUAUAAUUUAAUAAUAAUAAUAAUAAUAAAGAUUAGUAAAGUAAGGUUUAGGUUUCAUUUAUUUUUAUUGAAUUUAAGACGUUUGGAUAUUAAGAUUUAGAUAUCUAAAUUUGAAUAUUACAUGUGAAUUGUUAAGAUUUGUAUUAAGAUCUGCAUAUUUUAAUGAAGACUGCUUUUUUUAAACAUCUAAUAUACAAAAUUUAAUUUGUUUAAUUUAAAAAAAUAAUUAAUACAAAACUAAUCGGAUAUUAUAUAUGUACAAUAUAUUUUUUUUUUAAAUAUAUGAUUGGUGGUGGUAAUGGUUAUCUAGCAAUGAUGGUUGUAGAUGUCGAUUGAGGAUGAUGUUGGCUAAUAGUUGGGUGUACGUAGUAGAUAGUAUUGAUGGUUGUAGUUGAUUUUGAUAGUAGCAGUUAAUUGUUAUUAUUUCAUACAGUUACUUUAAUCUAGAUUUCGAUUUUCUACAAUAAAAAAAAUGAUCUUUUCUAAAAUAAUAAUUAUUACUUGAGUGAUCAGAAAUCAACUCAUGAGGAUUAUGAUUAUUGUUGAUGAAUGGUGGUACGUAGUUAAUACUAACGUUCGAUAAUAAUAAUAAUAAAAAAAUUGAUAAUGAUAGAUGGCGUUGGUAACGGUGAAUGAAUGUUAUAUAUGCUUUAAUAAUUCAAACAUAUUCCAUUAUUGGAAUAUAAAAAGCAAAAAGAAUAGAAUAAAAUAACAAAAAAGUAGAUAUGCUACUACCAAGAAAAUUCUUUAAAAUAUUCCACAUCUAAAACAUUACUAAAAUAUCAAACUUACAUAUCUCUAAGUUCAUUCAAAUUGAAACUCACUCAACUUUUUGCUUACUUGCUGUGAGAAAAAACAAAAUGUCAAGCUCUAAAAAUGGUGUACAUAUCUUAAUUUUUCCAUUUCCAGCACAAGGUCACAUACUUGCCCUUCUUGAUUUAACUCAUCAACUUCUUCUCCAUGGCUUUAAAAUCACUAUUUUAGUGACACCUAAAAAUGUCCCGAUUCUUGAUCCUCUUAUUUCUACACAUCCAUCUGUUGAAACUCUUGUUUUCCCAUUUCCCGGUCACCCAUCUCUUCCCGCCGGUGUUGAAAACGUUAAGGAUGUGGGAAAUUCCGGCAAUGCCCCAAUUAUUGCUGGGCUUAGUAAGCUUAGUGGCCCAAUAUUAGAAUGGUUUAAGGCCCAAUCAAAUCCUCCUGUAGCGAUUGUUUAUGAUUUCUUUUUGGGCUGGACUUUAGAUUUGGCCCAACAAGUUGGUGUGCCCGGAAUUGUAUUUUACGGUGUCGGGGCUUUAUUGGUUUCUAUACUUGUUGAUCUUUGGAAGAAUUUGUGGGCUUAUAAAGGUUUGGGUUUUGUUGAGUUUAAUGGGCUUCCAAAAAGCCCAAGGUUUGUGAGGGAACAUCUUCCUUCAGUGUUUCUCAAGUUUAAAGAGGAUGAUCCAACUUGGGAGAUUGUUAGAAAUGGGUUUAUUGCAAAUGGUAGGAGUUUUGGGUCAAUUUUCAAUACUUUUGAGGCUUUGGAGAGUGAUUAUUUGGGCUUUUUGAAGAAGGAAAUGGGCCAUGAGCGUGUGUAUUCGAUUGGGCCGAUAAAUUUAGUUGGUGGGCCGGGUAGAACUGGGAAGUUUGAUGAUGGUGCAAAUGAGAAAAUUUUCUCUUGGCUUAAUGAGUGUCCUAAUGAGUCUGUUCUUUAUGUAGCAUUUGGAAGUCAAAAGUUAUUAACAAAGGCCCAAAUGGAGGCCUUAACUAUUGGGCUUGAGAAAAGUGGAGUGAGGUUCAUUUUAGUAGCUAAACAAUUGACAGCCCAACAAGA
rnacentral:lncRNA from 1 species